UACAGAGGUGGCAAGCGUUGUUCGGAAUUACUGGGCGUAAAGGGUGUGUAGGCGGUUGUUUAAGUUUGGUGUGAAAUCUCCCGGCUCAACUGGGAGGGUGCGCCGAAUACUGAAUGACUUGGAGUGCGGGAGAGGAAAGUGGAAUUCCUGGUGUAGCGGUGAAAUGCGUAGAUAUCAGGAGGAACACCGGUGGUGUAGACGGCUUUCUGGACCGUAACUGACGCUGAGACACGAAAGCGUGGGUAGCAAACAGG
rnacentral:rRNA from 1 species